UACUCAAUUAAACCUCCUCAAAUAAAGAUCUAUAAAGUAUAUAUCAUUAAUAUUAGGCAGGCUAAAGCUCUCUCCGAAAAUAUUUGUAUUAUUUGUGCUUAUGACUUUUGUGAAUGGUUUGAAUGCAAAAACCAUUGCCUCCCUUGCCAAAAAGACCUGCGCACGAUUAUACAUGGUGUAUAAUGAAGAUAAAUAAAAAAUAAUG